AACGCAUCUUGCACUAUUCGGCUUCCCCGGAUAGUAUGCCUGGUUGAGUGUCUGUGUAUCUCUCCUAAUCUAAUGUUUUUGUGAUGUUAGAAUAGGGACUUGGGGUCUCUUUACUCGUCGGAAGCUUUUGCUUAGCACCCGGUGAACCCUUUAAAUAUAGUAAGCUCCCAUCUUUUUUGGAAAUACGCAAACUUGAGGAUGGCGUCGUAGCAAUCACUUUUAGUAUUGUCGAAACGCCUAUUAACAACUCCUCUAAUCUGCGGUGCUAAUCCAUUUCAGUGGGCGAAGCUUGUCGACUGGCAAAGUGCCAUGCUCUCUUAAUGGAGUACACGAACAAUAAUGACCUCAACUCAGGUAGGACGACCCGCUGGACUUAA
rnacentral:misc_RNA from 1 species